GGAUGAACGUUGGCGGCGUGCCUAAUACAUGCAUGUCGAACGAAGACUGUAGUAAUACUGUCUUAGUGGCGAACGGGUGAGUAACGCGUGGGUGACCUGCCCCGAAGUGUGGGAUAACAGUUCGAAAGGAUUGCUAAUACUGCAUAAUAUCCAAGAGAUUAGACGCUUUUGGAUUAAAGGAGUAAUUCGCUUCGGGAGGGGCCCGCGUCCCAUCAGCUAGUUGGUAAGGUAAUGGCUUACCAAGGCGAUGACGGGUAGGGGACCUGAGAGGGUGGCCCCCCACAAUGGAACUGAAACACGGUCCAUACACCUACGGGUGGCAGCAGUAGGGAAUAUUAGUAAUGGGCGAAAGCCUGAACUAGCAACGCCGCGUGUGCGAAGAAGGCCUUCGGGUUGUAAAGCACUUUUUGAGAGGAUGAGGAAGGACGGUACUCUCAGAAUAAGUCUCGGCUAACUACGUGCCAGCAGCCGCGGUAACACGUAGGAGGCAAACGUUAUCCGGAUUUACUGGGCGUAAAGCGCGUGUAGGUGGUUUGGUAAGUAGGGCGUGAAAGCUCCUGGCUCAACUGGGAGAGGACGUUCUAAACUGCCAAGCUUGAGGAUGGUAGAGGGAGGUGGAAUUCCGGGUGUAGCGGUGGAAUGCGCAGAUAUCCGGAGGAACACCAGUGGCGAAGGCGGCCUCCUGGACCACUCCUGACACUCAGACGCGAAAGCUAGGGUAGCAAACGGGAUUAGAGACCCCGGUAGUCCUAGCCCUAAACGAUGUAGACUUGGCGUCGGUGGUUUAAUCGCCAUCGGUGUCGUAGCUAACGCGAUAAGUCUACCGCCUGGGGACUACGGCCGCAAGGUUAAAACUCAUAGGAAUUGACGGGUCCCCGCACAAGCAGCGGAGCGUGUGGUUUAAUUCGAUGCUACACGAAGAACCUUACCUGGGUUUGACAUAGAGGUAGUAGGGAAGCGAAAGCGGACCGACCCUUCGGGGAGCCUCUACAGGUGUUGCAUGGCUGUCGUCAGCUCGUGUCGUGAGAUGUUGGGUUAAGUCCCGCAACGAGCGCAACCCUUGUCCUGUAUUGCCAGCGGAUAAUGCCGGGGACUUGCAGGAGACUGCCGGGGUCAACUCGGAGGAAGGUGGGGAUGACGUCAAGUCAUCAUGCCCCUUAUGUCCAGGGCUUCACACAUGCUACAAUGGCGCGUACAGAGGGCUGCGAGACCGUAAGGUGGAGCGAAUCCCUUAAAGCGCGUCUCAGUUCGGAUUGGGGUCUGCAACUCGACCCCAUGAAGUCGGAGUCGCUAGUAAUCGCAGAUCAGCAACGCUGCGGUGAAUACGUUCCCGGGCCU
rnacentral:rRNA from 1 species